rnacentral:lncRNA from 1 species
CUCAGAGGCAGGACCUCUAAUGACAGCCACCUCCAGGCUUUCCCUGGCCAUUGUGGCCCUGUGGGGAUCCUGGAGUUGCCUCCAUGUCUGUCUGUCCUUUUCCAGGUGUUCUCUAGGCAAAGAUACAGACUUGGGUUGUUGUGCCUGCAUUUUCCUGAGAUGAAUGAAUGCAUGUACAACUUAAAAAAAAUCUCUUUCCAUAGGCAACAACUGCAUCCUGAGCCUGUUUAUCAACUGCAUCUACAGGUGUUUCCAUACAGAACCCAAUUCUGUGCCCCAGUGUGGGGCACAAGAGUAAGGGCAGCCCAGGCGGACCAGGUCAGAGGCCUGGGGAAGCUCAGAGACCCCAGGCCUCCAUCACACGAAUGUACUGCAUUUCUGUCAUUAAGGCACAUUCUGAUUCCUUAAUUUAUUUGGCCAUUCUGCAUAGAACAUCUUGUGUAAUUGCAUGCUGUAUUUAGACAUGUUUUCAAGAUAUAUUUUCUAAGCAAUUUAAAAUUCUUAGGUUCAUAUUGAAUCAUGUGGUGUGCUCAUGUAUAACUCUGGGAAAAAAUUGAACUUUUAAAAGUGAUGAACUAUGUAUUCCACUAGUAAUAAAUGAGAGUUCUGGUUCUACAUCUUCCAAUGGAUACUGCAUCAAAGAAGGUUGUAGCCACUUAAUACACAUGUAGUGCCAACACGGCAGUGUAGGUCAUUUCCCCUCAUGUCAAGGGAUGCUGAGAAGCAUUUCUAUGCUUUUUUGCCAUUUUCAUAUCUUCUUUGGUGAGUUGUCAGUUCAGAUCUUCACCUGUUUUUAAUUGGAUGGUUGGUUUCUUACCAUGUUUAGGAUACAAGUCCACUUUAGAUAUGUAUUUUCCAAAUAUUUUAACCCAUCUGUGGCUUAUUUUUUGUUCCCUUAAUAUAAUUUUUUCAGAGUAGAUAUUUUUAUUUAAAUUUUUUUGGUAUUGAGCAUAGAACCCAGGGGUGUUCUACCAC